rnacentral:rRNA from 1 species
GACGAACGCUGGCGGCGUGCUUAACACAUGCAAGUCGAACGGAAAGGCCCUGCUUUUGUGGGGUGCUCGAGUGGCGAACGGGUGAGUAACACGUGAGUAACCUGCCCUUGACUUUGGGAUAACUUCAGGAAACUGGGGCUAAUACCGGAUAGGAGCUCCUGCUGCAUGGUGGGGGUUGGAAAGUUUCGGCGGUUGGGGAUGGACUCGCGGCUUAUCAGCUUGUUGGUGGGGUAGUGGCUUACCAAGGCUUUGACGGGUAGCCGGCCUGAGAGGGUGACCGGCCACAUUGGGACUGCGAUACGGCCCAGACUCCUACGGGAGGCAGCAGUGGGGAAUAUUGCACAAUGGGCGGAAGCCUGAUGCAGCAACGCCGCGUGCGGGAUGACGGCCUUCGGGUUGUAAACCGCUUUCGCCUGUGACGAAGAGUGAGUGACGGUAAUGGGUAAAGAAGCACCGGCUAACUACGUG